rnacentral:lncRNA from 1 species
GCCAAUCAGCGCGGUCGGAGCUAGCUGCCGGCUGCUGUUGCUAGGGGCGACUCGUCCUGUUGGGUCUGAGGGGGUGGUGCCGUCGGAAAGGUCUUGCUUGGUCUCCUCUCUAGCGGGCGGAGAGUUCCAAUGGUCCAGAUUGCCUGGGCAUCCCUGACCCCUCCGGACCACUUCCCUAGAGGGCAUCCUGUGCCCGACUGCUGGGCUGGCAUUUGCAGAGUACAGAUCUAGGCUGUCUGGAUUAUACUACACAUGAAGAGCCUACUGUUUGCAAAAAUUGACUUUUCUUUCCCGCGGCCACGCUGCAAAGGAUGGAGCUCCAGCAGCGAAGCAGCAGUCACUGGUCUAGCUGAAGAGGAAGGAGCCAGGCUCCUGCUUCGUAACCGAGGCAUCUAGCAUCCAGCCAAAGAACUUUUUUGCCUCUGACUAAGGAGCCACUGGUUAUCGGAGCCGGCUCAAUUGAAUACCCAUUCGGAUGAAAGAGUGAAGUAUAAAAUAACAAGGUAGCACAAAAAGCUGGGAAGAGGGACUCGAUGAGAUCACGUAGACGCCCCCAGGAUCAGAUCCUAAAUGCCGGUAGGGGCUUAUAUAAUCAAUAUUUCUCUGUCUCUUCCUCUCCCUUUCGUUCUCUCACUCCCUCUAUCCCUCACUUUUCCCCUCUGUCCCUUUCUCCUUCCUCCUCUCUCGCCUCUCCCUCUCUUACUUCAGUCUUCUGAAGAGCGAUAUUGCUACAGGCUUGGACCAGGGAGUGACCUGCAGGUGGAACUCUGAAUAUGCUGCCUCUUCUAGAAGGCCUGCUCAGCGUGUCACCUCUUUAUGUCUUCUAAGGAGAGAAUCCAUUGGUAGAGGAGGGAGGGCUAUGUGAGCCGGGGUAAGACAAACUGUUACUAAUAGUCCACCUUGUGCCGGUUAUUCAUUAAGCCUCAGUGUAGCCGCAUAAGAUGCUCAGGCACAGCACGUGACCUAAAGUCUGGGUAAGUUGGUUACUUUACCCAGGCCAUCGGUGGUGUUGGUUAUAGAAGGAUCUGAACCCCAUUCCUACAGCUUUAGAAAUGGCUAAACUUGUGAGUGACUAAACUUUGCUUUCUUUCCUUCUUAUGUUUUGUUUGCUUGCUUUGGUUCUGCCCCCCCAACACCCCGAUAUCCUGGUGUAUCCUGCUUUGUGAAACAACAGAUCUUCAAACACCAGCAUCACAUCCAGAGAGGCCAGAGGGUCCCAAGACAAAACAAGCCGGGGCCAAGACGCACUCAGAGCUCCUAUCUCACCCUCUUAGGGGUGUGCUCGGGGCACCAGAUGGGUUAUUAAAUGUUAUUCUCUUUCUCCCUUUUUGGUUAAGCAGAGGACUGCAGAGGAAAGCCUCUGAAUCAAAUGUUUGCUCCACACAGUUCAACUGAAAUGUAGGUUGUGAUGAGUGGACACGUGCUCCACAGCUAAGAGACCAACCGAGGGCAUCCUAUCCCACUCGUGGGUCUAAGGGGAGACUUACAGAAGGCAUACUUACUCUGAAGAUGGAAUGAUAGCUGAAGAGACAGAGUGAUGCCUAGGGCCUGUCAGACACCCAGUUUAGCCUAAUACAGAAAAGCACGGAGGUGAGAAACAACAGGGUGAAUCCAAGGAAAUUCAACAGGAGCAUGUGAGAGGCAGGAGCCAGGGAGAGUUAGACAUGGCCCGAAACAAGUUCUCCCCUCCACCCUGAGGAAUUCUGGUGCUUCAGCACUGGCUCCUGAAGAAUUGGGGAAACUUCCCAGAAGGUUGUCAGCCUCUCUCCGGCAGGAGCUUUACAGAGGUCUGUGGACACUUCAGAGCACCCACACGGGCCAGAGAAGUAACUGGUCACGAGGCUUCCCCCAGGGGGACUUCCUCACUCAAGCGACACAUUAAACUCUGAGUCAAUGAAUGCCAGAGGUUAGGGGUAAAGAUGACAGCACUUCACCUCAAGCUACCUCCUAGUUUUCAUAAAGUUUGGAAUUGAAGCUGACGAGAUGUAGACUCACCGUAAAGAGCUGGAAGCAGCAAGCAUAUCUGUGGCCCAUGAAAAGGGAGAGGGGGACCAGGAGGGCAUGGGCUGGAGAAGGACGAGGUUGUGUCCAGAGGAAUGGAGCAAUUAAACUUUAAACUAUUCUUUUCAUAAU